GAAAUGCGGGUUGUAGUGCAGAAAAAUAUAUCCGCGUGCUUGGUCAAUUGUGUGGAAAAGUGGGUUCCAGUCGAACAACACCAACAUAGAAGCUGGCAAUGAAUUGGCCACGAACAUCUUGCCUGACGCAAUCAUGCUGCCAC
rnacentral:ncRNA from 1 species